GACGAACGCUGGCGGCGUGCUUAACACAUGCAAGUCGAACGGAAAGGCCCUGCUUUUGUGGGGUGCUCGAGUGGCGAACGGGUGAGUAACACGUGAGUAACCUGCCCUUGACUUUGGGAUAACUUCAGGAAACUGGGGCUAAUACCGGAUAGGAGCUCCUGCUGCAUGGUGGGGGUUGGAAAGUUUCGGCGGUUGGGGAUGGACUCGCGGCUUAUCAGCUUGUUGGUGGGGUAGUGGCUUACCAAGGCUUUGACGGGUAGCCGGCCUGAGAGGGUGACCGGCCACAUUGGGACUGAGAUACGGCCCAGACUCCUACGGGAGGCAGCAGUGGGGAAUAUUGCACAAUGGGCGGAAGCCUGAUGCAGCAACGCCGCGUGCGGGGUGACGGCCUUCGGGUUGUAAACCGCUUUCGCCUGUGACGAAGCGUGAGUGACGGUAAUGGGUAAAGAGGCACCGGCUAACUACGUG
rnacentral:rRNA from 1 species